GUUUGAUCAUGGCUUAGGAACGAAACGCUGGCGGCGUGCCUAAUACAUGCAAGUAGAACGCUGAAGAGAGGAGCUUUGCUCUUCUUGGAUGAGUUGCGAACGGGUGAGUAACGCGUAGGUAACCUGCCUUGUAGCGGGGGAUAACUAUUGGAAACGAUAGCUAAUACCGCAUAACAAUAGGUGACACAUGUCAUUUAUUUGAAAGGGGCAAUUGCUCCACUACAAGAUGGACCUGCGUUGUAUUAGCUAGUAGGUGAGGUAACGGCUCACCUAGGCGACGAUACAUAGCCGACCUGAGAGGGUGAUCGGCCACACUGGGACUGAGACACGGCCCAGACUCCUACGGGAGGCAGCAGUAGGGAAUCUUCGGCAAUGGGGGCAACCCUGACCGAGCAACGCCGCGUGAGUGAAGAAGGUUUUCGGAUCGUAAAGCUCUGUUGUAAGUCAAGAACGAGUGUGAGAGUGGAAAGUUCACACUGUGACGGUAGCUUACCAGAAAGGGACGGCUAACUACGUGCCAGCAGCCGCGGUAAUACGUAGGUCCCGAGCGUUGUCCGGAUUUAUUGGGCGUAAAGCGAGCGCAGGCGGUUUGAUAAGUCUGAAGUUAAAGGCUGUGGCUCAACCAUAGUUCGCUUUGGAAACUGUCAAACUUGAGUGCAGAAGGGGAGAGUGGAAUUCCAUGUGUAGCGGUGAAAUGCGUAGAUAUAUGGAGGAACACCGGUGGCGAAAGCGGCUCUCUGGUCUGUAACUGACGCUGAGGCUCGAAAGCGUGGGGAGCGAACAGGAUUAGAUACCCUGGUAGUCCACGCCGUAAACGAUGAGUGCUAGGUGUUGGAUCCUUUCCGGGAUUCAGUGCCGCAGCUAACGCAUUAAGCACUCCGCCUGGGGAGUACGACCGCAAGGUUGAAACUCAAAGGAAUUGACGGGGGCCCGCACAAGCGGUGGAGCAUGUGGUUUAAUUCGAAGCAACGCGAAGAACCUUACCAGGUCUUGACAUCCCGAUGCUAUUUCUAGAGAUAGAAAGUUACUUCGGUACAUCGGUGACAGGUGGUGCAUGGUUGUCGUCAGCUCGUGUCGUGAGAUGUUGGGUUAAGUCCCGCAACGAGCGCAACCCCUAUUGUUAGUUGCCAUCAUUCAGUUGGGCACUCUAGCGAGACUGCCGGUAAUAAACCGGAGGAAGGUGGGGAUGACGUCAAAUCAUCAUGCCCCUUAUGACCUGGGCUACACACGUGCUACAAUGGUUGGUACAACGAGUUGCGAGUCGGUGACGGCAAGCUAAUCUCUUAAAGCCAAUCUCAGUUCGGAUUGUAGGCUGCAACUCGCCUACAUGAAGUCGGAAUCGCUAGUAAUCGCGGAUCAGCACGCCGCGGUGAAUACGUUCCCGGGCCUUGUACACACCGCCCGUC
rnacentral:rRNA from 1 species